rnacentral:piRNA from 1 species
UAGUAUGAUGGCUCUGCAAUUGCCUUCCAUG